CAACACGCAGCUGUUACAGAGACCGUGAUAUAUCUGUGACCAGCAGAUGGCGCUCUGGCUCUAAGGCAGCAGGGACAGCAGCCGAGGGGAAGCUGGACACACUGUAUCGCUCCUCAGACACACCCUAAUAAUACCAGCCACAGCAGAACAGACGGGAAACACUGCAUGCUGAUGAUAGAUCUCACAAAAAUACAGGGUAACAGACUGAGAGUGAAAUGCUCUACUGAGCUCAUGACUAACAACAAAGAAAUGGCCUGCAGGUCACAUGCAGGCACCAACCUGCCAAGGAUUCCAGAUAAGCUGAGUGGAGGCAGUGGACCACCAGUGUUUAACAGAAACAUGCUGAAGUCAGGAUGUUGACUUGCUGCCACGCUC